AACGAACGCUGGCGGCAGGCUUAACACAUGCAAGUCGAACGCCCCGCAAGGGGAGUGGCAGACGGGUGAGUAACGCGUGGGAAUCUACCCAGAUCUACGGAACAACAGUUGGAAACGACUGCUAAUACCGUAUACGCCCUACGGGGGAAAGAUUUAUCGGAUUUGGAUGAGCCCGCGUUGGAUUAGCUAGUUGGUGGGGUAAUGGCCUACCAAGGCGACGAUCCAUAGCUGGUCUGAGAGGAUGAUCAGCCACACUGGGACUGGGACACGGCCCAGACUCCUACGGGAGGCAGCAGUGGGGAAUAUUGGACAAUGGGCGCAAGCCUGAUCCAGCCAUGCCGCGUGAGUGAUGAAGGCCUUAGGGUUGUAAAGCUCUUUCACCGAUGAAGAUAAUGACGGUAGUCGGAGAAGAAGCCCCGGCUAACUUCGUGCCAGCCGCCGCGGUAACAC
rnacentral:rRNA from 1 species